rnacentral:rRNA from 1 species
UACAGAGGAGCCAAGCGUUGUCCGGAUUGACUGGGCGUAAAGCGCACGCAGGCGGCACCGCGCGUGGGGUGUGAAAUCUGGCCGCUUAACGGCCAGGCGCCAUCCCAUACGGCGCGUCUGGAGUGAUGCAGAGGUCGAUGGAAUUGCCGGUGUAGUGGUGAAAUGCGUAGAGAUCGGCAGGAACACCCAGGGGGAAACCAGUCGACUGGGCAUCUACUGACGCUGAGGUGCGAGAGCGUGGGGAGCGAACCGG